rnacentral:sRNA from 1 species
GCCGGGUAUGGUGGCUCAUGCCUGUAAUCCCAGCACUUUGGGAGGCUGAGGUGGGUGGAUCACCUGAGAUCAGGAGUUCGAGACCAGCCUGACCAACAUGGUGAAACCCCAUCUCUA